AAACCGUUCAGGGGUAAACCUUAGAAACCCAAAAGAUCGAAUGGGGAGAUUCAUCGUAAGCGGCCGUUGGCUUGCGUGCGGCGCGCGAUGCUCUCGGGGCGCUUGCGCUCCUUGGGCACGCCGUCGCUGCGCCAUGUCCGGCGUCGUGGGCGUGCACUUCUCCCCUAGUAGGACGUCGCGACCCGUUGGGUGUCGGUCUACGGUCCGGUGUGGUCGUCUGUCGCGCAGUCUUCGCGGGCGUCGCGCGGCAGACCCACCGAUUCUCCGACCGGCUGCCCGGCGGUACUCGCACGGUAUCGAGCCGCGGAUUCGAACGCGUCCCGGCCCGCCGCAAGCGCGUCCAGUGUUACACGGAGGUGCGGACCCAGCGCCGUCCCCGUGCCUGGCGCUCUGUUGGUUGGCGGUGUCCUCGGACAGGCUCUGUCGAAUGGUGAUACCGGUCGGCGACGCUACUGCUUUGGGUACUCUCAGGA
rnacentral:rRNA from 1 species